rnacentral:rRNA from 1 species
CCUACGGGGGGCUGCAGUGGGGAAUAUUGGACAAUGGGGGGAACCCUGAUCCAGCCAUGCCGCGUGUGUGAAGAAGGCCCUCGGGUUGUAAAGCACUUUCAGUGAGGAAGAACGCCUGGUGGUUAAUACCCAUCAGGAAAGACAUCACUCACAGAAGAAGCACCGGCUAACUCCGUGCCAGCAGCCGCGGUAAUACGGAGGGUGCGAGCGUUAAUCGGAAUUACUGGGCGUAAAGCGCGCGUAGGUGGCUUGAUAAGCCGGUUGUGAAAGCCCCGGGCUCAACCUGGGAACGGCAUCCGGAACUGUCAAGCUAGAGUGCAGGAGAGGAAGGUAGAAUUCCCGGUGUAGCGGUGAAAUGCGUAGAGAUCGGGAGGAAUACCAGUGGCGAAGGCGGCCUUCUGGACUGACACUGACACUGAGGUGCGAAAGCGUGGGUAGCAAACAGGAUUAGAUACCCCAGUAGUU